UACGUAGGGUGCAAGCGUUGUCCGGAAUUAUUGGGCGUAAAGAGCUCGUAGGCGGUUCGUCGCGUCGGCUGUGAAAUCCCGAGGCUCAACCUCGGGUCUGCAGUCGAUACGGGCGGACUGGAGUUCGGCAGGGGAGACUGGGAUUCCUGGUGUAGCGGUGAAAUGCGCAGAUAUCAGGGGGAACACCGGUGGCGAAGGCGGUUCUCUGGGCAUUACCUGACGCUGAGGAGCGAAAGCAUGGGGAGCGAACAGG
rnacentral:rRNA from 1 species